rnacentral:misc_RNA from 1 species
GAUGAAGAACGCAGCGAAAUGCGAUACUUGGUGUGAAUUGCAGAAUCCCGUGAACCAUCGAGUCUUUGAACGCAAGUUGCGCCUCAAGCCAUUAGGUUGAGGGCACGUCUGCCUGGGCGUCACAUAUCGUUGCCUGAUGCCAGUUUCCUCGUGAUGGGUGACUGUGCAGGGCGAAUGAUGGCUUCCCGUGAGCAUUGUUGCCUCAUGGUUGGUUGAAAAUUGAGUCCUUGGUAGGGAGCGCCGUGAUAGAUGGUGGUUGAGUGACGAACGAGACCCAAUCAUGUGAGACCCCUACCGAAUUUGGCCUUCAUAACCCACAUGCGUCUUUGGAACGCUCAUGACGAGACCUCAGGUCAGGCGGGGCUACCCGCUGAGUUUAAGCAUAUCAAUAACGGAGGA